GUGGUAUCCUGAGUAGCGCGGGACACGAGAAAUCUUGCGUGAAUCUGCCGGGACCAUCCGGUAAGGCUAAAUACUCCCGAGAGACCGAUAGCGAACCAGUACUGUGAAGGAAAGGUGAAAAGCACUUCGAAUAGAAGAGUGAAAUAGUCCCUGAAACCGUGCGCCUACAAGCGGUCGGAGCUGCGUAAGCAGUGACGGCGUGCCUUUUGCAUAAUGAACCUACGAGUUACUUUUUCCGGCAAGGUUAAGCAUCUUGAGAUGCGCAGCCGAAGCGAAAGCGAGUCUGAACAGGGCGUCGAGUCGGAAGGAGUAGACGCGAAACCAAGUGAUCUACCCUUGGUCAGGUUGAAGGUUAGGUAACACUAACUGGAGGACCGAACCGAUAAGCGUUGAAAAGCUUCCGGAUGAACUGAGGGUGGGGGUGAAAGGCUAAUCAAACUUGGAGAUAGCUCGUACUCCCCGAAAUGCAUUUAGGUGCAGCCUUGUGAGUUACUAAUGUGAGGUAGAGCGACUGAUAAGAUGCGAGGGCUUCACCGCCUAUCAAGUCUUGAUAAACUCCGAAUGCGCAUUAGUUCUAUCACAGGAGUGAGGGCAUGGGUGCUAAGGUCCAUGUCCUAAAGGAGAAGAAUCCAGACCAUCAGCUAAGGUCCCCAAAUAAACACUAAGUUGAACUAACGAAGUCAGAUUGCUAAGACAGCUAGGAUGUUGGCUUGGAAGCAGCCAUUCAUUUAAAGAGUGCGUAACAGCUCACUAGUCGAGGAGUUUGGCGUGGAUAAUAAUCGGGCAUUAAGUGUUUUACCGAAGCUAUGGGAUCAGUAAUGAUCGGUAGGGGAGCAUUCCACUCUGCGUCGAAGGUGAAGCGUGAGCUUUGCUGGAGCGUGUGGAAAAGCAAAUGUAGGUAUAAGUAACGAUAAAGGGGGUGAGAAACCCCCUCGCCGAAAGACUAAGGUUUCCUGAUCAACGCUAAUCGGAUCAGGGUUAGUCGGGUCCUAAGGCUCAGCCGAACGGUGAGGCCGAUGGCAGAACAGGUUAAUAUUCCUGUACUACCUUAAGGAGUGACGUGGAGACGGAGGCGUGACAGCGCCGCGGACUGACGGAAUAGUCCGUUGAAGGGUGUAGAUGUUGAUUAUCCCAGGCAAAUCCGGGAUAAGAGUCGAACCUGAUAGUAUGGAGCGUUCUUCGGAACAAUCCAAUAGUGCGUGUAAUCAUACUCCCAAGAAAAUCCGCUAAACUUAAUCCUUGAGGUACCCGUACCGCAAACGGACACACGUAGUCGGGUUGAAUAUACUAAGGCGCUUGAGUGAUUCACGGUUAAGGAACUAGGCAAAUUGACCCUGUAACUUCGGGAUAAAGGGUCCCAACGAGAGUUGGGCGCAGAGAAUAGGUCCAGGCAACUGUUUAACAAAAACACAGGGCUGUGCCAAAUUGAAAGAUUACGUAUACAGCCUGACACCUGCCCGGUGCUGGAAGGUUAAGAGGAGAUGUCAUCGCAAGAGAAGCAUUGAAUUGAAGCCCCAGUAAACGGCGGCCGUAACUAUAACGGUCCUAAGGUAGCGAAAUUCCUUGUCGGGUAAGUUCCGACCUGCACGAAUGGUGUAAUGAUCUGGACACUGUCUCAACCGUGAGCUCAGUGAAAUUGUAGUAUCGGUGAAGAUGCCGAUUACCCGCGAUGGGACGAAAAGACCCCGUGAACCUUUACUAUAGCUUAACAUUGAAUUUGGGUAAUUGAUGUGUAGGAUAGGCCGGAGACUUCGAAGCAGGUACGCCAGUAUUUGUGGAGUCGCUGUUGAAAUACGGCCCUUUGAUUAUUUGAGUUCUAACUCGUGGUACGAGGACACUGUUUGGUGGGUAGUUUGACUGGGGUGGUCGCCUCCAAAAUAGUAACGGAGGCUUCUAAAGGUGCCCUCAGGACGAUUGGUAACCGUCCGCAGAGUGUAAUGGCAUAAGGGCGCUUGACUGGGAGACUUACAAGUCGAUCAGGUAGGAAACUAGAGCAUAGUGAUCCGGUGUUUCCGUAUGGAAGGGACAUCGCUCAAAGGAUAAAAGGUACUCCGGGGAUAACAGGCUGAUCCCUCCCAAGAGCUCAUAUCGACGGAGGGGUUUGGCACCUCGAUGUCGGCUCGUCACAUCCUGGGGCUGGAGAAGGUCCCAAGGGUUGGGCUGUUCGCCCAUUAAAGUGGCACGCGAGCUGGGUUCAGAACGUCGUGAGACAGUUCGGUCUCUAUCUAUCGUGGGCGUAUGAAAUUUGCGUGGCUCUGACACUAGUACGAGAGGACCGUGUUGGACUGACCGCUGGUUUACCAGUUGUGCCGCCAGGUGCAUUGCUGGGUAUCUAAGUCGGGAUUGGAUAAGUGCUGAAAGCAUCUAAGUACGAAGCCAGCCACAAGAUUAGAUUUCUUAGGGUCGUUAAAGACGAUGACGUUGAUAGGAUGCAGGUGUAAAGGUGGUAACAUCAAAGCCGAGCAUUACUAAUUGCCCGUUCACUUUC
rnacentral:rRNA from 1 species